rnacentral:rRNA from 1 species
GACGAACGCUGGCGGCGUGCUUAACACAUGCAAGUCGAACGGAAAGGCCCUGCUUUUGUGGGGUGCUCGAGUGGCGAACGGGUGAGUAACACGUGAGUAACCUGCCCUUGACUUUGGGAUAACUUCAGGAAACUGGGGCUAAUACCGGAUAUGAGCUCCUGCUGCAUGGUGGGGGUUGGAAAGUUUCGGCGGUUGGGGAUGGACUCGCGGCUUAUCAGCUUGUUGGUGGGGUAGUGGCUUACCAAGGCUUUGACGGGUAGCCGGCCUGAGAGGGUUAACGGCCACAUUGGGACUGAGAUACGGACCAGACUCCUACGGGAGGCAACAGUGGGGAGUAUUACACAAUGGGCGGAAGCCUGAUGCAGCGACGCCGCGUGCGGGAUGACGGCCUUCGGGUUGUAAACCGCUUUCGCCUGUGACGAAGCGUGAGUGACGGUAAUGGGUAAAGAAGCACCGGCUAACUACGUG